CAAACUGAUGUGCGGACCUUCACUCAGCCUCACUCCGUCACUGGCAGUGUGCUUUUCAGGGACUGUCAGGAAGAGCCCGUGAACUCCUAGGACCCCUGGCCUUGGGGAGGCUGUUUGGAGCAGAAGGGCUCAGCCUGUCAUGCCGCAGAGAAGGAUGUGCUGUGAAUGCCGCAGAGGAGGGAAUAGCCAGGAACACUGUUACUGAAAGCUUGCUACACAGAGGGACUUUUGAGAAUUCAGGAUACGUCCAUGCCUGUGAAUUCAUUUGGAAAGAUCUCCAAGAUAUACACAACAAAGAAGCUCCUCUUUGCAAUUUCAUGGUAAACUUGCAAUGGAACAUCAUCCUGAGUGGAAAUAUUUCUCAACAUCAGGGACUCCGGAGCCCUAUAACCUAACCAGGAAGUAUUGAAUUCAGCCUCGCAUGUGUUAGUAGAUGGUUAGGAGGAAACUAGAAGGGAACUUCAGACAUCAGAUCAACUGAGUGAGGACCUUCUGGAAGCCCUCGACCUUCUGUACUGAAAGGAAAUUUGGUCUCCAUUUGCAAUUGGUGGAUCUGGAAAAUGCGCCAAACCCUGCAGAAAGGGCACAGCAGAGAGUGACGUUGACUUGAUUAGACUGCGAGAUCAGCUCUAUUUUGCCCAGGCUGGUGGCCGACAAAGGAGGGAUGGCUGAUGCCUUUGAACAGUUAGGGAUUGUCAAGUCGUCUUUGUUCUCUUGAUAACUUCUCCACUGGACCAGACUUAGACCUGAUCAUGAAAAAUUAUGCUAUAGACCAAGUGGCUCAAUUGGUAUUGGAAACAAGAAGGUCACAUUGUGUUUAGGCCUUCUUGACACCAAAGGUCUUCAGCAUGAAAUUAUGAGCUCCAAUUUUAUUCGGAGAAUUGUUCACUCUAAAAGAGAUAUUUCUAUUAGAAUCCAGUGCUCUGAAGAUCAUUUUCUCCUUCUGAAGAAGAUGAAUGUUUUCUUUUCUGUGAUGAGAACAAUGUACCUGAUUGACUUCCCCUUUUCUUGAAUGCUAGGAAGCUCUUCUCCUAAAGUUAAGCUUCAAAUUUAUAAAAUAGUGUAAAUACCUCAUAGGUUUCUAUUUGCAUUCUUUUUCUUCAUUGACACUCUAUAGCUUCGCUUUCUAUCAUUUGUGUAGUGUAUAUAGAACUUUCAUAGUUCACGUUUCCUUAUUUCUAGUCCAAUAUAAUGUUUUUAAAUGCAUUGACAUGGUGAGCCACCUCAAGUCACUUGCAGAAUAUAAGGGUGUUAGGGGCACCUGGGUGGCUCAGUCAGUUAAACGUCUGACACGCGAUUUCA